UGGUGGGUACGGUACCUGCUAAAAUCAGAACCAUAGAUUUUACUUACUCUAAUCCUAACCGUUAUUUCAUUUUAAUGAAAAUCCUGCUACCGUUCAAGCGGGUUUAGUAUAAAAGCCAAAAAAAAAACACAGUCACAUACUUUUUCAUCUGAGCCCUGGACUCUCUCGCGUUCUCCUCUCUCAAACCGCUUCUAUUCUCACUUGGGUGAUCUCCAUCUCUAUCUCGUGGCUUUACUCACCGGUGAAGGUUUCUCAAAAAGAUCAAAAUCACUUUGAUAUAGUGGAACUGGAAGGUAUUACCAGCGCCCAAGUCUGAGCUCCUUCGACCUUCGGCUCUUGAUUCCUCUGCUUUCAAGUAAGGGAUAAGUGAUAUGAGCAUUUGUCAACAGGUUUUAUUCUGGAGCAGAGGGAGCCUUAAUCGAGUUUUGGGAGGAACUGGUUUUAGCUUUAAAAGUAUAACCCCUGUUUUGGAAGUUUGAUGCUUAGCUUUGUAGUAUUGUGUAUUUUAGGAUCUAAUGAAAGUUGCGUACUUUAAUAUAUUAAGAGAUGUAAAUGUGAAAUUUCGAAAUUGAAUGACUGGUGGAUUAAGUUA